rnacentral:rRNA from 1 species
GAUGAACGCUAGCGGGAGGCUUAACACAUGCAAGUCGAGGGGCAGCACGAGGUAGCAAUACUUUGGUGGCGACCGGCGCACGGGUGAGUAACGCGUAUGUAACCUACCCUGUACAGGGGAAUAACCCGGAGAAAUUCGGACUAAUACCCCAUAAAGAUAUUUUGAGGCAUCUUAAGAUAUUUAAAGUUUCGGCGGUACGGGAUGGGCAUGCGUAACAUUAGCUAGUUGGUAGGGUAACGGCCUACCAAGGCUACGAUGUUUAGGGGUCCUGAGAGGGUGAUCCCCCACACUGGUACUGAGACACGGACCAGACUCCUACGGGAGGCAGCAGUGAGGAAUAUUGGUCAAUGGGCGCAAGCCUGAACCAGCCAUCCCGCGUGCAGGAAGACGGCCCUAUGGGUUGUAAACUGCUUUUCCAGGGGGUGAAACUCCCGUACGAGUACGGGACUGACGGUACCCUGGGAAUAAGCAUCGGCUAACUCCGUG